rnacentral:misc_RNA from 1 species
CAGGGAAAAAUGAAUGUUACAGAAUUUUGCUCUGGUUUUGAUGAUAAAUCUAGGAUUUCUAGUAAACCUUGAAUGAGUAACUUUGAUAGCUAACUUUUACUUCUCAUUAGACUUUUUCGUUAUUAUUUUUUUUAUUCUUUUUUAUCUGUCUGUCCUACAAUAGCUUGAGUAAAUCGUACAUUUAAUUGCUUAUUUCUUGUGAACCAAAAUGUAUAUAUUUUCUGUAAGUGUUGAAAUUCUUUGUAAAUGUGUAAAGAGGAUUAAUGA